UUAAGUUAUUAAGGGCGCACGGUGGAUGCCUUGGCACUAGAAGCCGAUGAAGGACGUUACUAACGACGAUAUGCUUUGGGGAGCUGUAAGUAAGCUUUGAUCCAGAGAUUUCCGAAUGGGGAAACCCAGCAUGAGUUAUGUCAUGUUAUCGAUAUGUGAAUACAUAGCAUAUCAGAAGGCACACCCGGAGAACUGAAACAUCUUAGUACCCGGAGGAAGAGAAAGAAAAUUCGAUUCCCUUAGUAGCGGCGAGCGAAACGGGAAGAGCCCAAACCAACAAGCUUGCUUGUUGGGGUUGUAGGACACUCUAUACGGAGUUACAAAGGACGACAUUAGACGAAUCAUCUGGAAAGAUGAAUCAAAGAAGGUAAUAAUCCUGUAGUCGAAAAUGUUGUCUCUCUUGAGUGGAUCCUGAGUACGACGGAGCACGUGAAAUUCCGUCGGAAUCUGGGAGGACCAUCUCCUAAGGCUAAAUACUCUCUAGUGACCGAUAGUGAACCAGUACCGUGAGGGAAAGGUGAAAAGCACCCCGGAAGGGGAGUGAAAUAGAACCUGAAACCGUGUGCUUACAAGUAGUCAGAGCCCGUUAAUGGGUGAUGGCGUGCCUUUUGUAGAAUGAACCGGCGAGUUACGAUUUGAUGCAAGGUUAAGCAGUAAAUGUGGAGCCGUAGCGAAAGCGAGUCUGAAUAGGGCGUUUAGUAUUUGGUCGUAGACCCGAAACCAGGUGAUCUACCCUUGGUCAGGUUGAAGUUCAGGUAACACUGAAUGGAGGACCGAACCGACUUACGUUGAAAAGUGAGCGGAUGAACUGAGGGUAGCGGAGAAAUUCCAAUCGAACCUGGAGAUAGCUGGUUCUCUCCGAAAUAGCUUUAGGGCUAGCCUCAAGUGAUGAUUAUUGGAGGUAGAGCACUGUUUGGACGAGGGGCCCCUCUCGGGUUACCGAAUUCAGACAAACUCCGAAUGCCAAUUAAUUUAACUUGGGAGUCAGAACAUGGGUGAUAAGGUCCGUGUUCGAAAGGGAAACAGCCCAGACCACCAGCUAAGGUCCCAAAAUAUAUGUUAAGUGGAAAAGGAUGUGGCGUUGCCCAGACAACUAGGAUGUUGGCUUAGAAGCAGCCAUCAUUUAAAGAGUGCGUAAUAGCUCACUAGUCGAGUGACACUGCGCCGAAAAUGUACCGGGGCUAAACAUAUUACCGAAGCUGUGGAUUGUCCUUUGGACAAUGGUAGGAGAGCGUUCUAAGGGCGUUGAAGCAUGAUCGUAAGGACAUGUGGAGCGCUUAGAAGUGAGAAUGCCGGUGUGAGUAGCGAAAGACGGGUGAGAAUCCCGUCCACCGAUUGACUAAGGUUUCCAGAGGAAGGCUCGUCCGCUCUGGGUUAGUCGGGUCCUAAGCUGAGGCCGACAGGCGUAGGCGAUGGAUAACAGGUUGAUAUUCCUGUACCACCUAUAAUCGUUUUAAUCGAUGGGGGGACGCAGUAGGAUAGGCGAAGCGUGCGAUUGGAUUGCACGUCUAAGCAGUAAGGCUGAGUAUUAGGCAAAUCCGGUACUCGUUAAGGCUGAGCUGUGAUGGGGAGAAGACAUUGUGUCUUCGAGUCGUUGAUUUCACACUGCCGAGAAAAGCCUCUAGAUAGAAAAUAGGUGCCCGUACCGCAAACCGACACAGGUAGUCAAGAUGAGAAUUCUAAGGUGAGCGAGCGAACUCUCGUUAAGGAACUCGGCAAAAUGACCCCGUAACUUCGGGAGAAGGGGUGCUCUUUAGGGUUAACGCCCAGAAGAGCCGCAGUGAAUAGGCCCAAGCGACUGUUUAUCAAAAACACAGGUCUCUGCUAAACCGUAAGGUGAUGUAUAGGGGCUGACGCCUGCCCGGUGCUGGAAGGUUAAGAGGAGUGGUUAGCUUCUGCGAAGCUACGAAUCGAAGCCCCAGUAAACGGCGGCCGUAACUAUAACGGUCCUAAGGUAGCGAAAUUCCUUGUCGGGUAAGUUCCGACCCGCACGAAAG
rnacentral:rRNA from 1 species